GGCAAGUGAGUGGGUGGAUUUGCAAGGGGGCUGAGUGGACUUGGUAGGUGACCGGAACCUCUUUCCUCACGGGUUGGCCAGGUACCGCUCAGCCCCCUGUCCGGAGCCUCCCACUCGACGGAGGGGCCGGAGGAAGAGUCUUUACAGAGACGGCUGUGGCCAGAGAAAGCCCCAGUACCUCAGCCCUCCACAAGGGAGCCGAGGGCCGGGUAGAGUUCCUCAUUCUCCGCACGGGGCGCGGAGGUAGCAAUGCGACCCUGGUACCUGAACACCCUGUCCCAGCAGCGCGUUGUACGUUGACCUCAGGCACAUCAGUCAGAACAAGGACCCGACUCGGAAGAGUGUUGCCGAAGACAGCUCUGGACUCGGACUCGAAGGCUGGAUCUGCCUGUUAGCUGAGAGAGUGUUGGUCUGAUGUGCCGGGUGAAGAGUGCCCUGAAGAGUCAGGCUUCUUAAAUUUGAAUCUUGGUUCACCACAUACCAGCUUUGUGAUCUAGGGAAAGUUCAUUCUUCUGUGCCUUAGGAGGUUUAUCUGUCAAAUAAAAAUACCAGUAUCGAUUCA